rnacentral:lncRNA from 1 species
GCAAAUCAUAGACAGAAUAAAUUAAAUAUUUUUAAAAAUUUAUAUUUUACUUAUAUAUGAUGUGAAAAUUGAAAUAAAAAUUUUGAAAUAUUAAAUAAAAUCAGUCAAUUGAUUACAAUUCUGAUAAAAAUGAUGGAUUAUGAACAUUUUUUCAAAGUCAUCAAUUAAAUGCAUAUUAAUUUAAAAAUUUCACAAUUUCAGGCUGUUUCUACCUUUGAGUACUUUGUCUGGUAAUAAGUCAUGGCAUGAUGUGUUUGUGACUCAGUCUCAGCUUAAGGUGAAAUGGACUAUAAUGGCUGAAAGUUGCCAGAAACAGCUGACACAGAUCAGGUUUAGUAAUAGAAGAGAGUUCUCCACUGUUACUUUGCAUGGAAGUAACACUAGUUCCUAUCAUAGAUUCAUCAGAACUAGUUCCAUGAUAAGGUGGAGAAAUUCUGAAGAAAAAGCAUAUAACUUAGAGUUACAUCCAGAUUUAAUAAUAAUUUUAAAAUUUAACAAGUUAAAAGGUUGAAGAAGGAAUGAAAACAAUCAGCUUCUGAUUAUCUUCCAGUAACAAAUUGAAGGCUAAAUAUGACAAGCUUUGCCUGGUAUCUUGAAGAAAUUAUUCAUGACAUUUUAUAUUUUUAUUACCUCAAUACUAUUCAACUAUCAGCAGAAUAUCUUACACCAUAAUUUAGUUAAGAAAUAUCUCCUUUUGCUAGAGGAAGUAGUUCAAAAUUUGAGCUCCCAAUCUAUGUGCCUCCUUCAUGACAAAGACCUGGAGUUUGAAAUUUUGGAUGGGUUAUUUAUUGGCAGUUUUUAAAUAUUUUUGCUAUUCAAAUUUUUAUUUACAAAAUUAC